AGAGUUUGAUCAUGGCUCAGGAUGAACGCUGGCGGCGUGCCUAACACAUGCAAGUCGAGCGAAGCACUUGGGUUAGAUUCUUCGGAUGACGACCCUUGUGACUGAGCGGCGGACGGGUGAGUAACGCGUGGGCAACCUGCCCUGUACAGGGGGAUAACAGUUAGAAAUGACUGCUAAUACCGCAUAAGCCCACAGCUUCGCAUGAAGCAGUGGGAAAAACUCCGGUGGUACAGGAUGGGCCCGCGUCUGAUUAGCUAGUUGGUAAGGUAACGGCUUACCAAGGCGACGAUCAGUAGCCGACCUGAGAGGGUGACCGGCCACAUUGGGACUGAGACACGGCCCAAACUCCUACGGGAGGCAGCAGUGGGGAAUAUUGCACAAUGGGGGAAACCCUGAUGCAGCGACGCCGCGUGAGCGAUGAAGUAUUUCGGUAUGUAAAGCUCUAUCAGCAGGGAAGAAAGUGACGGUACCUGACUAAAAAGCCCGGCUAACUACGUGCCAGCAGCCGCGGUAAUACGUA
rnacentral:rRNA from 1 species